AUAUCUCUCCGUACGGGAAGGAUGAGAAGCUUCGACCAAGGUUCGAUUCGAGCGCAGCGAGAAAGCGU
rnacentral:sRNA from 2 species